rnacentral:rRNA from 1 species
UCCUACGGGUGGCUGCAGUGGGGAAUAUUGGACAAUGGGCGCAAGCCUGAUCCAGCCAUGCCGCGUGAGUGACGAAGGCCUUAGGGUUGUAAAGCUCUUUUGGCGGGGACGAUAAUGACGGUACCCGCAGAAUAAGCCCCGGCUAACUUCGUGCCAGCAGCCGCGGUAAUACGAAGGGGGCUAGCGUUGUUCGGAAUUACUGGGCGUAAAGCGCACGUAGGCGGAUUUGUUAGUCAGGGGUGAAAUCCCGGGGCUCAACCUCGGAACUGCCUUUGAUACUGCAAAUCUCGAGUCCGGAAGAGGUGAGUGGAAUUCCUAGUGUAGAGGUGAAAUUCGUAGAUAUUAGGAAGAACACCAGUGGCGAAGGCGGCUCACUGGUCCGGUACUGACGCUGAGGUGCGAAAGCGUGGGGAGCAAACAGGAUUAGAUACCCGAGUAGUCUCA